rnacentral:rRNA from 1 species
UGCGAGUGAAGCGGCAACAGCUCAGAUUUGAAAUCUCUUUAAUUAAUUAAAGCGAAUUGUAAUCUGUAGAAGGGUGAAUGGCUAAUGCUCUGGUUUAAAUUUUCUGGAAUGAAAUAUCAUAGAGGGUGAGAAUCCCGUGAGCACCAGCAGUCUAGGCCAAUUAAUUCCCCUUUCGACGAGUCGAUUAGUUUGAGAAUGCUGAUCUAAAUGGGUGGUAAAUUUCAUCUAAAGCUAAAUAUCUGCCAGAGACCGAUAGCGAACAAGUAGAGUGAUCGAAAGAUGAAAAGCACUUUGAAAAGAGAGUUAAAAAGUACGUGAAAUUGUUGAAAGGGAAGCGCUUGCAAUUAGACUUGAUAAUUUAAUUCGAUCAAUCUACGGAUUCGAUUUAUUUUUUUAUUAUCAGGCCAGCAUCAGUUUAAUGAAAUUAAUAAAAAUAAUCGGAAUGUAUUAAUUAAUUUAUUAAUUAAACUUACAGCCUUUUAUAUCAUUAAUUUAUAUUAGACUGAGGUCUGCUCUUUUGAAAGGAUGCUGGCAUAAUGAUUGUAAGCGACCCGUCUUGAAACACGG